rnacentral:rRNA from 1 species
AUUGAACGCUGGCGGCAGGCCUAACACAUGCAAGUCGAACGGUAACAGGAAACAGCUUGCUGUUUCGCUGACGAGUGGCGGACGGGUGAGUAAUGUCUGGGAAACUGCCUGAUGGAGGGGGAUAACUACUGGAAACGGUAGCUAAUACCGCAUAACGUCGCAAGACCAAAGAGGGGGACCUUCGGGCCUCUUGCCAUCGGAUGUGCCCAGAUGGGAUUAGCUAGUAGGUGGGGUAACGGCUCACCUAGGCGACGAUCCCUAGCUGGUCUGAGAGGAUGACCAGCCACACUGGAACUGAGACCAGGUCCAGACUCCUACGGGAGGCAGCAGUGGGGAAUAUUGCACAAUGGGCGCAAGCCUGAUGCAGCCAUGCCGCGUGUAUGAAGAAGGCCUUCGGGUUGUAAAGUACUUUCAGCGGGGAGGAAGGGAGUAAAGUUAAUACCUUGACUCAUUGACGUUACCCGCAGAAGAAGCACCGGCUAACUCCGUG